rnacentral:misc_RNA from 1 species
AACGCACAUUGCGCCUUUUGGUAUUCCGAAAGGCACGUCCGUUUGAGCGUCAGUUAACCUCUCAUGGAGUAAUUCAUGGUAUUGGGGCCCCCGUUACGGGGGCCUCUAAAACUGACGGGCAGAAGCCCCGGCUAGACAUAAUAAAAUUUAUACUGUUAAAGUCGGUAAGCGGAAGCCCCAAGAAAAAGAAAGUGCCCCGGCACGUUUUUUUACUCUUGACCUCAAAUCGGAUGAGGAUACCCGCUGAACUUAA